UCCCCUGCCCUGCCCCCUCCCUCCCCUGCCCUGCUCCCUGGCACCCGCUGGUAGACUGUGCCACUCUCUUUAUCCGGGGCUAAGCCUGGCUGCAGCCGAGCCGCCCUGGUUUUGAGCCCUGCUCCUCCUCACCACCUUUCUCGAAAAGCCAGCGGCUGGCAGAAAAAAGGUCUGGUGUGGGAGUCUCAGUCCCUGCCCAACUCGGCUGGGUUUCCAGACCGCACUGUGGUAACACCCCAGCCCCUCUCCUCAGCUGUCCUUGCCUCUGCUUUGUCUCCUGCAGUCUCCAACAGAAACAUUGGCUCCUCAGGGCCAAGGCUCCUCGCAGCCUGCCAGACCCCCGCUGCAGGAAGUACCCAUCCACCUCAGCCUCUUCCAGAAUCAUCCUCCACCUGUGCCGGCCGCCUUCUGAGAGGCCACCUCUUCAUCCGUGGGACACUGUUCUGAGGAACAUGUGUUUUCAGGAGCAGGGGUCUUCCUUGUGUUAGCGGUUCUCCUGCCCACCCCCACCCCCCACCCCAGCAGAGGACUGGGAGGUAGUAGGGGCUUAGUGGAUAGCGGAUGCCUAUCAUAUCACAGGGGAGAACCCCUAGGUACUGGGGUGGCCCGUGCAGAGCACUGUGGUUUAGAGUACUCUAGCACCACACACCCAGUGCCUUGGGGAUGCCUCGUGGACACCCUUGUGUCAAGAGGAGGGAGGCCUGUUAGGAAGGUCUGUGAUCCUAUUUUGUUUUUAGCACCCCCUGAACCACCUGGAAGGGACAGGAGAGUGAUGGCAUUUCCCCGACACGUGCCUCAUGGCGAACACGGAGCUCUUCACCCCGAAGACGGAACAAGAUGGGGCCAGGACACUUGGGCUCCAAGGACUCCAAGCUCUCCUGCUGUUGAAGUCCUCCCUGUCCAGGGAUGCUUUUCUGAUGGGCCACACAGGAUAGAUACACAAUCCUCUUCUCAUUAGUCUCAGAUUUCCCUUGACCUUUUGAUCCCUCUCAUUAAUUAAACUCGUAUCCUUGCCAACAUCAAAACAGCCCUCCAUUAAAGUGUUCCAAGGGGAAGGAGUCAGCACAGGUAUGGGAGAGGAAAGGGGUCUGGCGCCAUCCCCAGGCCUCUGCUGUCUCUAUCCUGACCCCUACGGCUCUGCAGUGUGGUGGGCAUGGUCAAGAAGAGGCGCACACGUAUGUAGUGUAUAGACAGGCAUGUGUGCUGCCACAGGCCGCAGGCUGGCUAGCCAACUCAACAGGCUUUGGCUCACCCCACAACAUCUCUGCCUUCCAAGUUCCAUCUUGCGCCAUCAGAGACAAAAAUACCUUAAGCCACAGAGGGGCUCUCACAGCCUCUAGCAUUUCUGUCCAUGGAGGCCGGCAAUGGGACAAAGGGUUUCUCUUCGGGAACCCAACAUGGAGCAAGACAGAAGUGGCAGCAGCUAGCCUAAAGAGAAAGAACAUUCCAGAACCUCCUCCUCAAGAUCUUCUCAUGUGUGGACAUACAGAGAACCCCAAACGGCCCCUCUUACCACACUGUGGGGUUGGCCGAGUCUGGGCUUAGAAGCUGCAGUUCUGAGUGGAUUUUUCCCUGAUGGCCCCCACAGGGGGCCUGAGAACACUCAGGCCUGCCUCAAGCUGCAGAGGGCCAGGUGGGGCUCCUUUCUGCUUUCCCAAGCCUUGGUUUUGUCCUUCCUGCCAUUUGAAUGAGUUAAGCAGAGGGCCUUCGGGGCCCACCUACCCCGCGGCUAAUCCCUCAGCACCUGCAGAAACCAGAAGUAUGGCUGGCGACGCCCAUCCUCCUCCGUGCCUGCUCUCUGGAGUCCUAGCUCUCCUUCUAGAGCGAACACAUAAUCCAUCUCCGUGCCCGAAGAGGGGCCUGGCACGCGGGCCCAGAAAUGCCCUCCGGCCCUUCCCCCUCCUCGCACCUGCUGGGCAAAUUCAACAAACACUUGCUGGGUGGCCGGUGAAACCGGAAGCCAGCACCCAGGGGCUCAUUGUGUUUCCGCCUCAGGCUGGGUCUCUCUCCCUGAACGCAGAGCUGGCUGCCAGGCUGGCCUGACUAGUGAACUUGAGGGAUCUGCUCUCUACCACACCAGUGCUGGAGACAGACACUUGCUGCCAGUGUGCACAACUUUAGCUGGAGGUUGUUGCCUGCUGGAUCAAUCAGAUGGCCCAUAAGAACACAACACCUGUAGUCUGGAAACACCAUCUUGUACAACGGGGUUUUGAUCGGCUCUCCAGAGCUAACACAAGCGAUUGGAACUCUGAAGCGCCAUGCCUCUACCCUGCUUUCCUGCCUGCUCAGCAUCCAUUCAUCCUCUCUUUAGCCCCUGUUCCUGAGCCUCCCUCCCUCACCUGUAUCACCACACACACACUCCUCUCCAUGGAAGGUCACAUUGGAGCCAGAGAGGGGAGGAGGGACCACGGGGCAGAGUUUGCCUCCCACCCCUCUAAUAGAGUCCCACUCCACAGGCCGACUGCUGACAUGGAAAUCUCUCUAUUAGGACUGAACACUUCUCGGUAAUAGAAUUUGUCCUAACAGGGUUUACUACCCAAUCUAGUAGUGAAAACAUUUCAGAGCCCUGAAAAAAUGAAAUACAAGAAGUUCCUCUGGCUGUAAAUGUGCCUGCAGCAGGAAACCCCAUCGUCCCUUCUGAUGAGGAAGUUAUAAAGAGCCUAUUCUACCAA